rnacentral:rRNA from 1 species
CAGUAGCCGCGGUAAAACGAAGGGGGCUAGCGUUGCUCGGAAUGACUGGGCGUAAAGGGCGCGUAGGCGGAUUGUUUAGUUAGGCGUGAAAUUCCUGGGCUUAACCUGGGGACUGCGCUUAAUACAGGCAGUCUAGAGUGAGGAAGAGGGUUGUGGAAUUCCCAGUGUAGCGGUGAAAUGCGUAGAGAUGUGGAGGAACACCAGUGGCGAAGGCGACUCUCUGGUCUGUAACUGGCGCUGAGGAGCGAAAGCGUGGGGAGCGAACAGGAUUAGAUACCCGAGUAGUCCCUGUCUCUUAUAC